rnacentral:rRNA from 1 species
CCUACGGGUGGCAGCAGUGGGGAAUUUUGGACAAUGGGCGCAAGCCUGAUCCAGCUAUUCCGCGUGUGGGAAGACGGCCUUCGGGUUGUAAACCACUUUUGUAGAGAACGAAAAGUCUAUUGAUAAUACCGAUAGAUGAUGACGGUACUCUAAGAAUAAGCACCGGCUAACUACGUGCCAGCAGCCGCGGUAAUACGUAGGGUGCGAGCGUUAAUCGGAAUUAUUGGGCGUGAAGGGUGUGCAGGCGGUUUUGCAAGAUGUAUGUGAAAGCCCCGGGGUUAACCUGGGAAAGCCAUACAUGACUGCAAGACUAGAGUGCGUCAGAGGGGGGUGGAAUUCCAAGUGUAGCAGUGAAAUGCGUAGAUAUUUGGAAGAACACCGAUGGCGAAGGCAGCCCCCUGGGACGCAACUGACGCUCAUACACGAAAGCGUGGGGAGCAAACAGGAUUAGAUACCCUAGUAGUC